rnacentral:rRNA from 1 species
CGGACGGGUGAGUAAUGUCUGGGAAACUGCCUGAUGGAGGGGGAGUAACUACUGGAAACGGUAGCUAAUACCGCAUAACGUCGCAAGACCAAAGAGGGGGACCUUCGGGCCUCUUGCCAUCGGAUGUGCCCAGAUGGGAUUAGCUAGUAGGUGGGGUAACGGCUCACCUAGGCGACGAUCCCUAGCUGGUCUGAGAGGAUGACCAGCCACACUGGAACUGAGACACGGUCCAG